CCUUCCUUAUUCUUCAAAAUUUUUUGGUCAAACUGCCUUCCCACUUUAAUCAAAAUAAUAGGCUCCCCCCUUUUCCUUCCCAUUUUCAAAAUCCCCAAUUUAGAUAGGAACCCUAGCUCUCUCCCUCCUACCUCGGCGACUCCCGCCGCUGUCCGGCCGCCACGCACCGCCGUCUCCGGCGCCAUCUUCCUCCCUAUCUUUCUUCGUCUCUCCCUCUUUCACUUCUCCCUUUCUUUUCUAAUUUGGACAAUUAGUAAAUCCCCAAAUUAAGGAAAUCAAACCCUAGGUAGGCGGCUUUCCCGCUUUCGAGCGUCGUCGCCCCCUUCUUCUCCGGCGAAACCGCCGUCCCCCUUCUUCAUCAGAAUUCGACCUCCUCCCCUGGAUCGCGAGAAUCGAGAGGCAGCGCCUCCAAGUCCCUUUUCGGUACGCCGCUGGCCUCGCCGUCGCGCCUUCGCCGUCGUCGUCUCCCAGCACCGCACGGCGGAGGUCCCGACGCGGUGAAGCAGCUGCCGCCGUCCCGUCAUCUGCCGCAACUCCCGGGUCCCGUCGGAGUUCGCUCGUCGUCGGAUUUCGUCUCGGUGGCCGGCCUUAAGCUAAGUCUUCGAACCCUUAUUAUCUAGCUCAUCUGAUUAGGUGAAUUUUGGUGUUGGAGGGCUUAUAUGUGACUGAUGCUGGGUUUUUUGUGAUUUUCAUUAAGUGAGGAUUGAGUAGAGGCUAUGUGAAAGUCGUUAAACAGUUAUCUGGAGAUUUUUCUGGUUGUUCAUUGUGGUGGGUUUAACCCUUCCAAACUCUACUUGUUAUUGCCAUUAGUCUAAGCGGCAAUUUCUAACAUAUCUUGGCAUUACUUGAUGAUCGUGGCUGCUGCUGCUGCUACUAUCUCGUGUAUCACAUGAUGUUUGAUUAAUUAAAGACAUCUGUCCCAAUAUAAUAAACACAAUUUAUAGUGUGUUUUUCCUAUUAGAGAAUGAAGCAUAUUUCAAGGACGGUGGAUAUUGAUUCUCUAAAGCUGACUCUCAUGCCUUUUUUUUACUAUAAAACCACCAAAUAAUUCACCCUAUCCAUCAAUGCAUGAAAAACAUUUUAUACAUAUAUUGUGGAGAAAGAGAUGGAUCACAAGUAGUACUCAUAGAUAGUCUACUGUCAUGGGGUUCUAAUUGAUAAUGUUGUUAAGUUCCAAAACUGAGUUCUUGAGCAUUUAUGGUUCUACGCCUCUAUGUUAUCUAUGAUGCUCCCUAAAUGAUGCAAAAGGGUGAUGGCGUUACCUAUUGUGGCCGUGGAGAAACGGGCUGCCCUAGUUGUUGCUCUCAAAAAAUGCUCCACUUUCUAACUCUAUAUGCUGCCGAAAUUUGAAGUGUGUGGUAGGGGAGAACUUGAUGCAUAUGAAAGGGGGUUUUAUAGACAAGAACGUGUACUUGUGAAGCAUUAACUUGAGCUGCUGUAUGCCUUGUUUUCUUUCUGCAGCAGAUCCUCUUUUCUGGAUUAUUGCAGCCACUUUAACUGCAUUCCUUGGUGGUGAUUUUUGCAGGUGCACAACAAGGGUGUAGGGCUGUUAACUGUGCUUUGCAGGGCUGCUGCAGCUGAAAAGGCUGAUCUUGCCUCUUGGCAGCCUUCGGUUAGGGCUGGGGAGAGUGCAGGAGCUUGCUGCCACUUAUCCUUCCUAUUUUGGCAAUCCCUUGGUCUUCAUCAAGAACGUGUUUGAGAAAUUGCUGCCAUUGCUGUUGCACCGCCGUUUGCUGGUGAUCUGGGCCCGCUGGUUCUCGAUCGUCGGAAGGGGAUGACUUGAACUUGUGAAGAAUAGAUUCGAGGCAUUUGCAUUAGGCAUUCAUGUAUUACUUGUGUUUUUUUUGUAAGUUAAGUCAUAGCUUGAAAUGUAACUAUUGUAACUCAUUCGACUAAGGAAAUAAACGAGCACAUGUUCAUUCUUCAA